AUUGAACGCUGGCGGCAGGCCUAACACGUGCAAGUCGAACGAAGUCUUCGGACUUAGUGGCGGACGGGUGAGUAACACGUGGGAACGUGCCUUUAGGUUCGGAAUAACUCAGGGAAACUUGUGCUAAUACCGAAUGUGCCCUUCGGGGGAAAGAUUUAUCGCCUUUAGAGCGGCCCGCGUCUGAUUAGCUAGUUGGUGAGGUAAAGGCUCACCAAGGCUACGAUCAGUAGCUGGUCUGAGAGGAUGACCAGCCACAUUGGGACUGAGACACGGCCCAAACUCCUACGGGAGGCAGCAGUGGGGAAUCUUGCGCAAUGGGCGAAAGCCUGACGCAGCCAUGCCGCGUGGAUGAUGAAGGUCUUAGGAUUGUAAAAUCCUUUCACCGGUGAAGAUAAUGACUGUAGCCGGAGAAGAAGCCCCGGCUAACUUCGUGCCAGCCGCCGCAGUAA
rnacentral:rRNA from 1 species